rnacentral:rRNA from 1 species
AGUCGAACGGCAGCACGGGAGCUUGCUCCUGGUGGCGAGUGGCGAACGGGUGAGUAAUAUAUCGGAACGUACCCUAGAGUGGGGGAUAACGCAGCGAAAGUUGCGCUAAUACCGCAUACGAUCUACGGAUGAAAGUGGGGGAUCGCAAGACCUCAUGCUCAUGGAGCGGCCGAUAUCUGAUUAGCUAGUUGGUGGGGUAAAGGCCUACCAAGGCAUCGAUCAGUAGCUGGUCUGAGAGGACGACCAGCCACACUGGAACUGAGACACGGUCCAGACUCCUACGGGAGGCAGCAGUGGGGAAUUUUGGACAAUGGGGGCAACCCUGAUCCAGCAAUGCCGCGUGAGUGAAGAAGGCCUUCGGGUUGUAAAGCUCUUUUGUCAGGGAAGAAACGGUGAGGGCUAAUAUCCUUUGCUAAUGACGGUACCUGAAGAAUAAGCACCGGCUAACUACGUGCCAGCAGCCGCGGUAAUACGUAGGGUGCAAGCGUUAAUCGGAAUUACUGGGCGUAAAGCGUGCGCAGGCGGUUAUGUAAGUCAGAUGUGAAAUCCCCGGGCUCAACCUGGGAAUGGCAUUUGAGACUGCAUGGCUAGAGUGUGUCAGAGGGGGGUAGAAUUCCACGUGUAGCAGUGAAAUGCGUAGAGAUGUGGAGGAAUACCGAUGGCGAAGGCAGCCCCCUGGGAUAACACUGACGCUCAUGCACGAAAGCGUGGGGAGCAAACAGGAUUAGAUACCCUGGUAGUCCACGCCCUAAACGAUGUCUACUAGUUGUCGGGACUUAAUUGUCUUGGUAACGCAGCUAACGCGUGAAGUAGACCGCCUGGGGAGUACGGUCGCAAGAUUAAAACUCAAAGGAAUUGACGGGGACCCGCACAAGCGGUGGAUGAUGUGGAUUAAUUCGAUGCAACGCGAAAAACCUUACCUACCCUUGACAUGUACGGAACCUCUGAGAGAUUAGAGGGUGCUCGAAAGAGAGCCGUAACACAGGUGCUGCAUGGCUGUCGUCAGCUCGUGUCGUGAGAUGUUGGGUUAAGUCCCGCAACGAGCGCAACCCUUGUCAUUAGUUGCUACGAAAGGGCACUCUAAUGAGACUGCCGGUGACAAACCGGAGGAAGGUGGGGAUGACGUCAAGUCCUCAUGGCCCUUAUGGGUAGGGCUUCACACGUCAUACAAUGGUACAUACAGAGGGCCGCCAACCCGCGAGGGGGAGCUAAUCCCAGAAAGUGUAUCGUAGUCCGGAUUGUAGUCUGCAACUCGACUACAUGAAGUUGGAAUCGCUAGUAAUCGCGGAUCAGCAUGUCGCGGUGAAUACGUUCCCGGGUCUUGUACACACCGCCCGUCACACCAUGGGAGCGGGUUUCACCAGAAGUAGGUAGCCUAACCGCAAGGAGGGCGCUUACC